UACGGAGGGUGCAAGCGUUAUCCGGAUUUACUGGGUUUAAAGGGUGCGUAGGCGGCUUCUUAAGUCAGUGGUGAAAUCCUAGUGCUUAACAUUAGAACGGCCAUUGAUACUGGGAAGCUUGAGUCAAGGAGAGGUAAGCAGAAUUUAUGGUGUAGCAGUGAAAUGCUUAGAUACCAUAAGGAAUACCAAUAGCGAAGGCAGCUUACUGGCCUUGUACUGACGCUGAGGCACGAAAGCGUGGGGAGCAAACAGG
rnacentral:rRNA from 1 species